ACUACAAGCAACAAGCCUGAAGUCAACAACUAUAUCUAUAAUUGUGACUGAUCCAAUGCCUUAUGCAGCCAAAAGAUUUGAAGGGGUGCUAUAACACCACAGAGAUGACAGGACUGCAGCUUUCCUGUGAAAUAAAUAAUGCUGCUAUACCAUGCAAAUGUAGAUGUAAGAUUUUCCACAUGCUCGGCUUGUGUUUGGGUGGAGGAUGGCACAGAUUCUCACCGUCUCGCUGUGCUGUCUGUGGAAGAGUGGGACAAACUCCAAGGACUUGAUCUUGUGUAGAACCUGCUGAAAGUCCUCUUUCUGGAUGUCCUGAGCUCAGGAUGGACAACAUAUGGAGACCAUGAACUGUCUACCUCAGGAGUUCCUGUUGUGAAUUCUCCUGCAACCGCAUCAACUCCAGCUGCAUUCCCUUUCAAAAUAAAGACAGAGCAGCAGUAAAUCCA